GGGGAUGUGGCGGAAUGGUAGACGCGCAUGACUUAGAAUCAUGUGCCGCAAGGCGUGUGGGUUCGAGUCCCUCCAUCCCCA
rnacentral:tRNA from 2 species